rnacentral:rRNA from 1 species
AAACUAAUCUAGUUUGGCGGCAUUUCAUCUAAUUAGAGGAAUUUGUCAUUUAAUCGAUAACCCACGAUAAAUUUCACUUAAAUCAUAAAUUUAUAUACCGCCAUCUCAAGAACUUUUUCACAAAUAUNAUUCACAAUAAAAUAUAAUAUGUUAGGUCAAGGUGUAGUUAAUAUUUAAGCAUAGAUGAAUUACUUUAAACACAAUUUAAGGAUUAUUAAUCAAAACAAACAUCAAAGAGGAUUUAAAAGCAAUAUUAAAAUAAUAAUUCAAUAUGAUUUAGAUAAUAAAUGUGCACACAUCGCCC